UAACAACUCACCUGCCGAAUGAAUUAGCCCUGAAAAUGGAUGGCGCUCAAGCGGGCAGCCGACACUGCACCAUUUAAGCUAUUUAUGUCUUAAAUGAGUAGGAGGAACGUGGCGGUUGUACAGAAGCAUCUCCGCAAGGAGGUGUGGAACGGCCGCUAGUGCAGAUCUUGGUGGUAGUAGCAAAUAUUCAAAUGCGAUCCUUGAAGGGUCAAGCGGGGAAGGGUUCCACGCGAUCAUUGAUUGAGCGUGGGUUAGUCGGUCCUGAGCCGUCUGGCAAUUUCUAGCUAUCGGCGAAAGGGAAACAGGUAAAGAUUCCUGUACUUGACAUAGUUUGGGUAACCUAUCCUUACCGGAUGACUCCCAGAAUGGCGUGGUUGCAGUCCCCUGACAGAGAUCUCUUUUCUGUUUCACAUCCAGUGGGCCCCGAAAUCGGUUCGUCCUGAGUAGGGGUCCUUGCCUUUGGUCUGGUAGAGCAGCGGGAUUUUUUCCGUUGUAUGGGUUGACUCCUGCGUCCCUUGAAGAGCUGGGCCCGGGUCUGUGGAACUUCGGUUUUGCAGGCGGGAAAUUCUAUGUUCAACCCGUACCCAUAACCGCAUCAGGUCCCCAAGGUGAACAGCCUCUGUCCAAUAUGAAUAAU
rnacentral:rRNA from 1 species